GAUGAACGCUGGCGGCGUGCCUAAUACAUGCAAGUCGAGCGAACGGACGAGAAGCUUGCUUCUCUGAUGUUAGCGGCGGACGGGUGAGUAACACGUGGAUAACCUACCUAUAAGACUGGGAUAACUUCGGGAAACCGGAGCUAAUACCGGAUAAUAUUUUGAACCGCAUGGUUCAAAAGUGAAAGACGGUCUUGCUGUCACUUAUAGAUGGAUCCGCGCUGCAUUAGCUAGUUGGUAAGGUAACGGCUUACCAAGGCAACGAUGCAUAGCCGACCUGAGAGGGGGAUCGGCCACACUUGAACUGAGACACGGUCCAGACUCCUACGGGAGGCAGGAGUAGGGAAUCUUCCGCAAUGGGCGAAAGCCUGACGGAGCAACGCCGCGUGAGUGAUGAAGGUCUUCGGAUCGUAAAACGCUGUUAUUAGGGAAGAACAUAUGUGUAAGUAACUGUGCACAUCUUGACGGUACCUAAGCAGAAAGCCACGGCUAACUACGU
rnacentral:rRNA from 1 species